rnacentral:misc_RNA from 1 species
GCAUUCGAGAACUCGAAGCCUCAGACUCCUGUGUUAGAUAAGAAUAUUAAAACUACACUUUGAGUCAAACGGUAAAGUUUAAUUGUCAAUAGCACGAUGAAAACAUUUUUAAUUGCAAUGGCUACAUUUUCGAUAUUAAAUUUCCUAUCGGGAUAUCAUCAUUUGAUAGAUGCCCACGAGAUAUCCGCUCUUAAGCGACCAUUCACACCAGACGUGCUUGAUGAAAUUCUAGAUGGGUAUUCAAGACUACGAAAACGUUUCUACACGAAGAAAUUAGCUUGGUCACCAGCCAAUGGAUUCUUUAAUUUGGGAGCAAACAGAGGAAAUUCUCAAGAUUCUGGAGAUAAAGGGAAGCAACCUUUCAGAUGGGGAAGAUAAAUAGUAAAGCUUAAAUGUAAAGUUUUUCUAUAUUGAAAUAGUAAGAGAGAUAUAAGACUUUUCACAUAUUGUAAUUUAUGUCAUGCAUAGAUAGUAAUGAUAUGUGAAAAUGAGAAAAAAAACAAAAAAAAGAGAAAUAUACAAAAGAUAUUUUAGAAAUUGAAUAUAAAAAUACAAACGCAAACAGAAAAAGCUUAAAAAGAAAACAAUUGUCUUUUAUGUUUAUUUUCAAUAACUAAUUCUCUGUCUUUAGAAAAGAAAACUUUUUUUUUUAAAAAAAAACUUCACAAGAA